AUGUUUAUAGAGUUGAGGUCUAAAUACCGAGCAGGCUGCAGACAAGAUCCAUGGCUUCCACAGUCUCUGGGAUUCUCCUAUCAGGGAGUUGAAAAAUACCCAGUGCUGGAGCCUUUGCCACAGUUCCUGUGCAUCAAAAGAGAGGAACCCUUUCUUGAAGCCUAUGCUGCAAUUGAUUAGGACAUAAGAACAAAAGUCUUAUGUAGCAUGACCUGUAACUCCAUGUAUGCCCCUUGAGUCUAAGAUAUUUAAUUGUACUGUUGCAUCUUAUGGAGUGGCCAAAAUGGUCCUAAAUAUGAAAAGAAUAAUCCUGAGCAUUGUUGGCCAAUUCUAGGAGUAUGUCUCUCCAGUGAGUACCUCUCUCUGUGUCACAGAGAAUGUUUGGAAGACAUUCUCUGUGUAUAAUGUGUAUAUUAUGUAUAUUAUGUAUAAUGUGUAUAUUCUGUGUAUAUUAAUAAUGUGUAUAUUAUGUGUAUAUGGGUGGUCCAAAUAUUCCCCAACCUUCUUUUAAAAUGCACAUAAAACUG
rnacentral:lncRNA from 1 species